UCCCCUCUGUACAGGGUAAGAGAAUUGAUUUUGAGGUCUCAACAAUGAUUGGAGUAGGGGCGUACGUAUAGUAUGCACAACAAGUGUAUAAGAGCAGGAUUGUUGGAGUAGGAGAAGACACAGAACAUGUUGCAUUUGCGAGAAGAAUCAACAAUUAAGAAGAAUAAGAAGAUGGUGAGAGACUGAGAGUGGAUGCAAAUUGCAGUGGAUUGAGGUUAAGUGAGUUUAUAAGAAUUCACUUUUGAGGUCCCAAGAAUAAUGGGAGAAGUAUUAGAGAUGCAUGUAUGCAGAACUCAAUCCUACAGCUCGGAGAUACUUAGUCUAUUUGACAUAUACA